rnacentral:rRNA from 1 species
CGUAGGGCGCAAGCGUUGUCCGGAAUUAUUGGGCGUAAAGAGCUCGUAGGCGGUCUGUUGCGUCCGCUGUGAAAACUCGGGGCUUAACCCCGAGCCUGCAGUGGAUACGGGCAGACUAGAGGCAGGUAGGGGAGAAUGGAAUUCCCGGUGUAGCGGUGAAAUGCGCAGAUAUCGAUAGGAACUCCGGUGGCGAAGGCGGCAUACUGGACCACAUCUGACGCUGAGGCGCGAAAGCCAGGGGAGCAAACGGG